AGAGUUUGAUCCUGGCUCAGAGAGAGCGCUGGCGGCACGCUUUACACAUGCAAGUCGAACGAGCGACCUUCACGGGUGACGCUUGUGGCGUACGGGUGAGUAAUACCUGAGAAUCUACCUGUGGAUGGGGGAUAAAAUACCGCAUAAUUUCUACGGAAUAAAGGUUGGUUGUUGAGAUGCAGCCAAUCGUCCACAGACGAGCUCAGGCCAGAUUAGGUAGUUGGUGGGGUAAAGGCCUACCAAGCCGAUGAUCUGUAGCCGGUCUGAGAGGAUGGUCGGCCACAUUGGGACUGAGAUACGGCCCAGACUCUUUUUAAAGGGGCAGCAGUGGGGAAUUUUGGACAAUGGGGGGAACCCUGAUCCAGCGAUGCCGCGUGAAUGAUUAAGGUUUAAGGACUGUAAAGUUCUGUCAGUCUAUGAUAAUAAUGAUAUUAGUAGACAAGGAAGUCCCGGCUAAGUCUGUGCCAGCAGCCGCGGUAAUACAGGCGGGGCAAGCGUUUCUCGGAUUUAUUGGGCGUAAAGAGUGUUAAGGCUGUGUCGUAAGUGAGGUGUUAAAUGUCUGGGCCCAACCCAGAUCCGCGCUUCAUACUGCGACGCUAGAAUCUGAAAGAGGAAGUAAGAAUUCCUGGAGUAGCGGUGAAAUGCAUAGAUCCCAGGAGGAAUACCAAAGGCGAAGGCAAGCUUCUGGUUCAGUAUUGACGUUGAUACACGAAAGCGUGGGUAGCAAACAGGAUUAGAUACCCUGGUAGUCC
rnacentral:rRNA from 1 species